CGAAGAAUGGAUAUUACUGAAAAGGAGCACGAGAAUAAAGAAGUGAUAGAAACACAACAUCAUGAAAGUGAAACAACUCAUUGAGGCAAGCAUUAAGUCCUUUGGUGUUGUGUGUUGGGUAGGGUUGCUGACUCCUCUGGGGUGAGGGAGACUCAUCCUGAGCAGCAUACAGCACCAAGAUAAGGCGAUACAGCUAACCUGCACAACGCCAGGAAACGGAAAAUUAAAUACCGAAGAAACGAUAUUACAGAAAAAGAAUACGAAAAUAAAAAAGUCAUGAAAACACAACAUGGACUGACACUCUGAUGACGACCCACGCAACAAGGCCCCCUGACACUCCCUGGACACUCUCUGAUCAAUGGACGGACACUCUGAUGACGACCCACGCAACAAGGCCCCUGACACUCCCUGGACACUCUGAACACUGCCCUGACCAUUUGCAACAAAAAAUCUCCUCACGACGUAACCUAAAAAGGACAAAAUCCCCCCCGACAAAAAAAAAAAAUAGUUAACUUUCCAAACUAUAACGAAAUAGUUGUCACCAACAAGACAUCAAAAUAAAGAAGCCAUAAAAAAGAAAAAGAAAAAAAGCAACAAAGAAAUCAACUCAAGCAGUAGUAAAAAAAAAAAAGACCUAACAAAUCUAAAAA